rnacentral:rRNA from 1 species
AGCAGCCGCGGUAAUUCCAGCUCCAAUAGCGUAUAUUAAAGUUGUUGCAGUUAAAAAGCUCGUAGUUGAAUUUCGGAAUCUGUCCGUUGGUCGGGCUUCAUUGUCCGUACUGGUGUGAUGGGUUCUUACCUUCUGAAUAACCAGCAUGCCAUUCAUUUGGUGCGUUGGGGAAGCAGGACUAUUACCUUGAAAAAAUUAGAGUGCUCAAAGCAGGCUAGUGCCUGAAUACAUUAGCAUGGAAUAAUAAAAUAGGACGGCAUGGUUCUAUUUUGUUGGUUUCUAGGAUCACCGUAAUGAUUAAUAGGGAUAGUUGGGGGCAUUAGUAUUCAAUUGUCAGAGGUGAAAUUCUUGGAUUUAUUGAAGACUAACUUCUGCGAAAGCAUUUGCCAAGGAUGUUUUCAUUAAUCAAGAACGAAAGUUAGGGGAUCGAAGACGAUCAGAUACCGUCGUAGUCUUAACCAUAAACUAUGCCGACUAGGGAUCGGACGAUGUUAAUUUUUUAANGANUCG